GACGAACGCUGGCGGCGUGCUUAACACAUGCAAGUCGAACGGUGAAGCGCCUUCCUUUUUGGUGGGUGUGGAUGAGUGGCGAACGGGUGAGUAACACGUGAGUAACCUGCCCCCUUCUUCUGGAUAACCGCAUGAAAGUGUGGCUAAUACGGGAUAUUCUGGGUCUGUCGCAUGAUGGGUCUGGGAAAGAUAUUGUUUCGGUGGGGGAUGGGCUCGCGGCCUAUCAGCUUGUUGGUGGGGUGAUGGCCUACCAAGGCGGUGACGGGUAGCCGGCCUGAGAGGGUGGACGGUCACACUGUGACUGUGACACGGCCCAGACUCCUACGGGAGGCAGCAGGGGGGAAUAUUGCACAAUGGGCGCAAGCCUGAGGCAGCGACGCCGCGUGAGGGAUGGAGGCCUUCGGGUUGUGAACCUCUUUCGCCAGUGAAGCAGGCCUGCCUCGUUUGUGGGUGGGUUGACGGUAGCUGGAUAAGAAGCGCCGGCUAACUACGUG
rnacentral:rRNA from 1 species